CGGGAAUUUUGGGCAAUGGGCGAAAGCCUGACCCAGCAACGCCGCGUGAGGGAUGAAGUAUUUCGGUAUGUAAACCUCGAAAGAAUGGGAAGAAUAAAUGACGGUACCAUUUAUAAGCUCCGGCUAACUACGUGCCAGCAGCCGCGGUAAUACGUAGGGAGCAAGCGUUGUUCGGAUUUACUGGGCGUAAAGGGCGCGUAGGCGGCGCGGUAAGUCACUUGUGAAAUCUCUGAGCUUAACUCAGAACGGCCAAGUGAUACUGCUGUGCUAGAGUGCGGAAGAGGCAACCGGAAUUCUGGGUGUAGCGGUGAAAUGCGUAGAUAUCAAGAGGAACACCUGAGGCGAAGGCGGGUUGCUGGGCCGACACUGACGCUGAUGCGCGAAAGCCAGGGGAGCAAACG
rnacentral:rRNA from 1 species